rnacentral:rRNA from 1 species
GACGAACGCUGGCGGCGUGCUUAACACAUGCAAGUCGAACGGAAAGGCCCUGCUUUUGUGGGGUGCUCGAGUGGCGAACGGGUGAGUAACACGUGAGUAACCUGCCCUUGACUUUGGGAUAACUUCAGGAAACUGGGGCUAAUACCGGAUAGGAGCUCCUGCUGCAUGGUGGGGGUUGGAAAGUUUCGGCGGUUGGGGAUGGACUCGCGGCUUAUCAGCUUGUUGGUGGGGUAGUGGCUUACCAAGGCUUUGACGGGUAGCCGGCCUGAGAGGGUGACCGGCCAAAUUGGGACUGGGAUACGGGCCAGACUCCUACGGGAGGCAGCAGUGGGGAAUAUUGCACAAUGGGCGGAAGCCUGAUGCAGCAACGCCGCGUGCGGGAUGACGGCCUUCGGGUUGUAAACCGCUUUCGCCUGUGACGAAGCGUGAGUGACGGUAAUGGGUAAAGAAGCACCGGCUAACUACGUG